GGAUCACUGGUUGCUGCGGAAAAGGAGGAGGUCGAAAGGGAGGAAUCCUCUCCAGACACACUCCUCUGGUGCUGCCCAUGUAUAUGAAGGAGGUGCGUAUUGCACUGGCAGAGGGGUCGAUGAGCUGGGCCUCAGGAACAUUUUAUCUUUCAAGGUAAUCCGUUACUACCCAACCUGCUCAGCUCCAAAGGACCCAAGUAAGGGCCUCCAGCCAUGUUAGAAGCGGAGCAGCUUUCCCAC